rnacentral:rRNA from 1 species
UGGGGGAUUUUGGACAAUGGGCGCAAGCCUGAUCCAGCAAUGCCGCGUGCAGGAUGAAGGCCUUCGGAUUGUAAACUGCUUUUGUACGGAACGAAACGGUCUUUUCUAAUACAGAAGGCUAAUGACGGUACCGUAAGAAUAAGCACCGGCUAACUACGUGCCAGCAGCCGCGGUAAUACGUAGGGUGCGAGCGUUAAUCGGAAUUACUGGGCGUAAAGCGUGCGCAGGCGGUUUUGCAAGACAGAGGUGAAAUCCCCGGGCUCAACCUGGGAAUUGCAUUUGUAACUGCAAGGCUAGAGUGCGGCAGAGGGGGAUGGAAUUCCGCGUGUAGCAGUGAAAUGCGUAGAGAUGCGGAGGAACACCGAUGGCGAAGGCAGUCCCCUGGGAUUGCACUGACGCUCAUGCACGAAAGCGUGGGUAGCAAACA